rnacentral:rRNA from 1 species
ACGAACGCUGGCGGCACGCUUAACACAUGCAAGUCGAACGAGAGAAGAGGAGCUUGCUUUUCUGAUCUAGUGGCGGACGGGUGAGUAACACGUGAGCAAUCUGCCUUUCAGAGGGGGAUACCGAUUGGAAACGAUCGUUAAUACCGCAUAACAUAAUUGAACCGCAUGAUUUGAUUAUCAAAGAUUUAUCGCUGAAAGAUGAGCUCGCGUCUGAUUAGCUAGUUGGUAAGGUAACGGCUUACCAAGGCGACGAUCAGUAGCCGGACUGAGAGGUUGAUCGGCCACAUUGGGACUGAGACACGGCCCAGACUCCUACGGGAGGCAGCAGUGGGGAAUAUUGCACAAUGGAGGAAACUCUGAUGCAGCGAUGCCGCGUGAGGGAAGAAGGUUUUAGGAUUGUAAACCUCUGUCUUCAGGGACGAAAAAAGACGGUACCUGAGGAGGAAGCUCCGGCCAACUACGUGCCAGCAGCCGCGGUAAUACGUAGGGAGCGAGCGUUGUCCGGAAUUACUGGGUGUAAAGGGAGCGUAGGCGGGAUCGCAAGUCAGAUGUGAAAACUAUGGGCUUAACCCAUAAACUGCAUUUGAAACUGUGGUUCUUGAGUGAAGUAGAGGUAAGCGGAAUUCCUAGUGUAGCGGUGAAAUGCGUAGAUAUUAGGAGGAACAUCAGUGGCGAAGGCGGCUUACUGGGCUUUAACUGACGCUGAGGCUCGAAAGCGUGGGGAGCAAACAGGAUUAGAUACCCUGGUAGUCCACGCCGUAAACGAUGAUUACUAGGUGUGGGGGGACUGACCCCUUCCGUGCCGCAGCAAACGCAAUAAGUAAUCCACCUGGAGAGUACGACCGCAAGGUUGAAACUCAAAGGAAUUGACGGGGGCCCGCACAAGCAGUGGAGUAUGUGGAUUAAUUCGAAGCAACGCGAAGAACCUUACCAGGUCUUGACAUCGUAUGCAUAGCUCAGAGAUGAGUGAAAUCUCUUCGGAGACAUAUAGACAGGUGGUGCAUGGUUGUCGUCAGCUCGUGUCGUGAGAUGUUGGGUUAAGUCCCGCAACGAGCGCAACCCUUACUGUUAGUUGCUACGCAAGAGCACUCUAGCAGGACUGCCGUUGACAAAACGGAGGAAGGUGGGGAUGACGUCAAAUCAUCAUGCCCCUUAUGACCUGGGCCUCACACGUACUACAAUGGCUGUCAACAGAGGGAAGCAAAGCCGCGAGGUGGAGCAAACCCCUAAAAGCAGUCUUAGUUCGGAUUGUAGGCUGCAACCCGCCUACAUGAAGUCGGAAUUGCUAGUAAUCGCAGAUCAGCAUGCUGCGGUGAAUACGUUCCCGGGCCUUGUACACACCGCCCGUCACGCCAUGGGAGUCGGUAACACCCGAAGCCUGUAGUCUAACCGCAAGGAGGACGCAGUCGAAGGUGGGAUUGAUGACUGGGGUG